UACAGAGGGUGCAAGCGUUAAUCGGAAUUACUGGGCGUAAAGAGUGCGUAGGCGGUUAAGUAAGUUAGGUGUGAAAUCCCCGGGCUCAACCUGGGAACUGCGCUUAAAACUAUUUAGCUAGAGUGUUGUAGAGGAAAGUAGAAUUUCCGGUGUAGCGGUGAAAUGCGUAGAUAUCGGAAGGAAUACCAGUGGCGAAGGCGACUUUCUGGACAAACACUGACGCUGAGGCACGAAAGCGUGGGGAGCAAACAGG
rnacentral:misc_RNA from 1 species